GGGAGCGUAGCUCAGCGGUAGAGCAUAUGCUUUAUAUGCAGACGGUGCCAGGUUCAAUCCUUCACCUUUCCG